rnacentral:rRNA from 1 species
AACGAACGCUGGCGGCAUGCCUAACACAUGCAAGUCGAACGAAGGCUUCGGCCUUAGUGGCGCACGGGUGCGUAACGCGUGGGAAUCUGCCCUUUGCUUCGGAAUAACAGUUAGAAAUGACUGCUAAUACCGGAUGAUGACUUCGGUCCAAAGAUUUAUCGGCAAAGGAUGAGCCCGCGUAAGAUUAACUAGUUGGUGGGGUAAAGGCCUACCAAGGCGACGAUCUUUAGCUGGUCUGAGAGGAUGAUCAGCCACACUGGGACCGAGACACGGCCCAGACUCCUACGGGAGGCAGCAGUGGGGAAUAUUGGACAAUGGGCGAAAGCCUGAUCCAGCAAUGCCGCGUGAGUGAUGAAGGCCUUCGGGUUGUAAAGCUCUUUUACCAGGGAUGAUAAUGACAGUACCUGGAGAAUAAGCUCCGGCUAACUCCGUGCCAGCCGCCGCAGUAACAC